rnacentral:rRNA from 1 species
UACGAAGGGAGCUAGCGUUGUUCGGAAUCACUGGGCGUAAAGCGCACGUAGGCGGCUUUCUAAGUCAGGGGUGAAAUCCUGGAGCUCAACUCCAGAACUGCCUUUGAUACUGGGAAGCUCGAGUCCGGAAGAGGUGAGUGGAACUCCGAGUGUAGAGGUGAAAUUCGUAGAUAUUCGGAAGAACACCAGUGGCGAAGGCGGCUCACUGGUCCGGUACUGACGCUGAGGUGCGAAAGCGUGGGGAGCAAACAGG